rnacentral:rRNA from 1 species
AACGAACGCUGGCGGCAGGCCUAACACAUGCAAGUUGAACGCCCGUAGCAAUACGGGAGUGGCAGACGGGUGAGUAACGCGUGGGAACGUGCCCUUCGGUUUGGAAUAACUCAGGGAAACUUGAGCUAAUACCAAAUACGUCCGUAAGGAGAAAGAUUUAUCGCCGAAGGAUCGGCCCGCGUCGGAUUAGCUAGUUGGUGAGGUAACGGCCCACCAAGGCGACGAUCCGUAGCUGGUCUGAGAGGAUGAUCAGCCACACUGGGACUGAGACACGG